rnacentral:tRNA from 1 species
GAGUCGCUAGCUCAGUUGGCAAGAGCAAUAGACUUUUAAUCUAUGGGUCGAAGGUUCGAAUCCUUCGCGACUCA